CUAGGGCAGUCUCCACCACGAUCCAUGCCCGCCGCAACCCCUCGCCGAGCCAGCAGGAGCGAGCAGCAACAGCCGGGAAGAUGCGCGUGGGCGCCGACGGCGGGAGGGCGCUGAGGAGCGCGGGCUGCAGCGGCGUUUCACCUCGCCAUGCCCUCCUCUGCGCUUGGGUCGACGUCGAUGUCGGACGGGGAGCAGCUGGGGGUGGUGCGGCCUGGGAAGACGCGCGCGCGGGGCCGGCAGCGCGAGGGUGCCGAGGAGCGCAGCCUCCCCUUCCCUUCCACUUCUCCCCCAAUCCCGUCUGGUUCUUCUCCUCCCCUCCCUCGUGCCCCCCAUCCCUGCCACUGCGCGCCUCUCCUCCUCCCCUUCACGGCUGCCUCAGCAGCAGCAACUAGAGGUUGACGGGUUCCUUCUCCUCCUCUCCCCCUUGCGCCCCCAUCCUGGCCGCCACCUCGUGCGCAUCUCCUCCUCCCCAUCGCGUCUUCCUCAGCAGCAGCAGACGGAGGUCAGCCUAGAGGAACUGCACGAACGCCGGCCGCCACAUCGAGCCGCCGUGAUCUCCUCGUCCAACCACUAGCCGGCAAGGACGUUGCAUGGAUGGAAGAAGUUGCAGAACAAGGGUGACCCAGAUUUCUCUUGCCAUAAUUGUGAGGCAAGCAUCCUUCCAUGACAACGGCCAAAUCCUAUAGAAGAGGGCCAGCAACAUCUUUGAGAGAAGCAUGCACCCUCCCUUGAGAACACUACUUUACAUUGUAGGUAACGGUGAAAACAUUUCUUUUGGUAAUGUUGUUCGCUGUCUCAUGUAAGUUUCUACUUGAAAACCUCUUUUUCUAAUGUUUGAAAACCUCAGUUUCGACUCUCAAGUAUGUGUACCCAAAGACUCUUAUUAGUUUUUCAUGUAUAAACACAUUUUUGCAUCUCCAUUUUUUUUAAAUGCUGCAUACUAUACUCUCUUAUGCCUUACCAUUAUCGAAUAUAUUGUUGGGUUGUUGCUAUUACUAUUUAAUUGUUAGGAUAUAUUAAUUAUGUCAGUUGUUCCUCCCUCACAUAUCACUGUUUGUUUUAUUUCCAAGCUACGGGUGCAAUAUUGUGUCUUGAACUCUUGAUCACUGAAAACUAGCCUUCAAAUGCAGUUUGUAGAUAGAAAAUUUUAACAGCAUGGACAUGCAAGGUUUCAGUUUCGUGUUAUUGAUGGAAAUCCACUUCAUUUUGCACUGCAGUGUCAAGCAAUUCUGGCAAAUAUUCACUAUAUAGAAAACAUUAUAUACUUUUGAUAUGACAUUAACCUUUUUUGUCUAUAACAGACUCAAGUUUUCACGUUAAGAAAUAGUAGCUAUUAGGCAGCAUGCUAUUUUGACGUUUGUCUAUACGCAAGUUAAAGAUCUCAAAUUUCUUUCGAACUUAGGUUAUACCUAAGCAUUUAUAGGUUUAUUUUCUUUGCUGCAACAGGUUUUGAUCUUAAGAAACUGCUAUAGAACUCACUACAGAAUUUGACUAUAGAGCCCACUGAAAAUAUUUAUUCUCACCUACAGCUAUGCGUUUCCACCAAACUUGGAAUUAUUUCAUUAUUGGAGGCUUUCAUGUGCAUAUUUUGAAUUAAGGGGGAAGAAGAAGCAGAUUGUUGGCUUUUAUUGGCUUUCUAUAUGACCCUUUCCUUUAUUUGAAGGCAAAUCAGUGUAUAGGCAGAAGCACGUAAUGUUUCUUUCACCUUUGUCUGGGCUAUAAUGGUUUUGGGCAUGCUCCAAGAUUAUUCGUGUAAAUAUCGAGGUAAUAUUUUUGUACAGGCUGAUAGGUAUUCCAGCCAGCUUUAGAUGGGUCAGAUUGUACAAAGGAUGAGGAAGGUCUUACUCCCACUCAUUUCUCAUGUUGAUAUUCAGUCAGAACAUUGCGACAUAUCAGGGAAUGUGCCACAUCGACGGGCAUGGGAUGUCCGAUGUGUUUUGAUCUCGAUGGUCUGAUGCAGAACUUUGGGAGGAGCGGGCUGUCGCCAUCGUAUGGAGGAGCGCCAACCGCUACUCCAUCAGAAGGAGCCGCCGACACCACAGCUAGGCGUUUGUCCUCGCCUCGGCAAGGUUGUGGUGUGCCCCUGGUUACAAGAUCAAGUGAAAUACUACCCUCAUCAUGGGUCUCAAUAGAUUGUCCAAUUAUUGUCCAGUAUUUGCUCAAUGAAAAUUCUAGGAAAUGGUUGAUGCCGACUCUAACAUUGGGGAGCCUGAUGCCCGAAGGUGUGGCUGAUAUGGCCAAAUGAACUUCUAACAGCUGGUGGCUAACCAAUAUUUAUUUGGAAAUUGAACUAUUACUACUGAUGUUUCUAUGUUAACAUAUAUAUGCCGAAGCUUGUGCAUUUAUGGUUGAGAACAUCAAGAUUAUUCUGUAGAAGAGCAAGCAGUUUAUAGGUUCUUGAUUAUACAGCCAGCACCAUGUAGUAACACAUGUCAUAUUAUUGCUGAUUUACAUAGUGUUUCACCUA